GACUCCAGUCACCUGCAUGUCUCCAACUGGGAGAAGGGAUUAUGUUCCAGUUUAGACAAAAAAGAUAACUUUAAAGAAGCCAAUUACUGUUUUUCCUAUCACUUGAAUGGGCCUUGUUGCAUCCAUUAUCAAGCAGUGAAAAACAGUACCUGUGGGACACAGACCCCUCGGCCAGGAGCGCAGUCUUAGGACAACCUGGUGGCAGAGCUGAUGAAGCAGGCGACUCACCCAUUGACUGACAGCCUUGAGAGGCUUGCACUCUUUCAAGUACUUGUGAACUUUGUUGGCUUUUUGCAAAAAGCUUGAAAAGUAAAGUGUGACAUUUAAAUUAGAAUAAAUGGAAGAACAC